UAGUCAUAUGCUUGUCUUAAAGAUUAAGCCAUGCAUGUCUAAGUGUAAAUGAAUAUUGCACAGUGAAACUGCGAAUGGCUCAUUAAAACAGUUAUAGUUUACUCGAUGAUGAAUAGUUACAUGGAUAACUCUGGUAAUUCUAGAGCUAAUACAUGCAACCCGAAAGGGACAAGCAUCCAGCUUUUGUUGGGUGCUGCAUUUAUUAGACACUAUUGCCAAACCAACCUUUCCAAAAGAAAGGGCAUUGGUGAGUCAUAAUAACUGAGCUGAUCGUAUGGCCAAGAGCCGACGACGGAUCAUUCAGAUUUCUGCCCUAUCAACUUUCGAUGGUAGGAUAUGGGCCUACCAUGGUUAUUACGGGUAACGGAGAAUCAGGGUUCGAUUCCGGAGAGGGCGCCUGAGAAAUGGCGACCACAUCCAAGGAAGGCAGCAGGCGCGCAAAUUACCCAAUCCUGACACAGGGAGGUAGAGACAAGAAAUAACGAUGCAGGGCCCAAUGGGUCGUUGCAAUUGGAAUGAGAAGGGAGUAGACAACCUAUUCGAGUAACAAUU
rnacentral:rRNA from 1 species